rnacentral:tRNA from 1 species
GCCCGGGUGGCGAAACUGGCUAUACGCGGCCGCCUUAAGAUCGGCUGUCCUGACGGACGUGUGGGUUCGAGUCCCACCCCGGGCA